UAGGGAAUCUUCCGCAAUGGACGCAAGUCUGACGGAGCAACGCCGCGUGAGUGAAGAAGGAUUUCGGUUCGUAAAACUCUGUUGUUAGAGAAGAACAGCGCAUAGAGUAACUGUUAUGCGUGUGACGGUAUCUAACCAGAAAGCCACGGCUAACUACGUGCCAGCAGCCGCGGUAAUACGUAGGUGGCAAGCGUUGUCCGGAUUUAUUGGGCGUAAAGCGAGCGCAGGCGGUCAAUUAAGUCUGAUGUGAAAGCCCCCGGCUCAACCGGGGAGGGUCAUUUGAAACUGGUUGACUUGAGUGCAGAAGAGGAGAGUGGAAUUCCAUGUGUAGCGUUGAAAUGCGUAGAUAUAUGGAGGCACACCAGUGGCGAAGGCGACUCUCUGGUCUGUACCUGACGCUGAGGCUCGAAAGCGUGGGUAGCAAACAGG
rnacentral:rRNA from 1 species